UUUGCCGAUUGGAGUGUUUUU
rnacentral:piRNA from 1 species